rnacentral:rRNA from 1 species
UACGUAGGUGGCAAGCGUUAUCCGGAUUCACUGGGCGUAAAGAGUGCGUAGGUGGUCCUUCAAGUCGGACGUUAAAACUCACGGCUUAACUGUGAGAUGUCGUCCGAUACUGCUGGACUUGAGGACAGUAGAGGAAGGUGGAAUUCCCGGUGUAGUGGUGAAAUGCGUAGAUAUCGGGAGGAACACCAGUGGCGAAGGCGGCCUUCUGGGCUGUUUCUGACACUGAGGCACGAAAGCGUGGGGAG